CAAAUGGCGGUUGCUAUUGCAAAAGUUAUUUGUGAAAUAAUUUCAUUAAUUUCUUUCUGUGCUUCGUUCGUUAUGUAUUUUUGCUGUUGAGCUGAACCAUAGUUCCUCCAGCUACUCCAUAAUUGUGACGAUUGUGUGUGUGAAAGGAAUUUUGUGAUAUUAUACCAAAACUGAGAUAGGACUCCUGUAUUUUAGUGUUAAUUGUUAUUAUAGUGUUUAUUAUUAUUUAUUAUUUAUUUAUUUUUUUAUAGUAGCAUUACUAGCAUCUGUUUUGGUGCACCAUGUUUUCGGACAAGUACUAGGUAGGUAGGUAGGAAUGCAUUGAGUGCUUCAUGGGUUCCCAAACCCUGAAAAGGACAAAGAACGCUUCAACAACUGGCUUUACGCUAUUGGUGGUGAUAUCUUGGCCUUGGAAAAUGAGCGCAUAUUUAAGUACCGCCGUGUGUGUCACUCACACUUCGAACAUAAAUAUCUAUGCUGUAACAACAAAAUCAGCAACAUUGCUUUGCCAACAUUAAAUAUGCCAGCACCAUUUCUGCUGAAGAGAUCCACAUCAGUUACUAGAAAGCCAUUACAACAAAUUCUGGAACUGCCAUCAACGAAUUUCAGUAUAUUAGAAUGUACUCUGUGUGUAAAAUGGUCGCCGUAGCCUGCGUACACGCUUGAUUAUGUUUUGCGGUUGUUUUAUGUGUAAAUUCUAGUUUUUGUGAUAAUAUCUUCGUUAUAAACGUCGAGUCGAGUUUACUCCUCCGUUUCGGUAAAAAGAUAAUCUUCCAGAAACUGUGUUUUACUUCGCGCUAAGGACGCUUUUGUGUUGUGUUGUGUGUGGUCUGCUCAUCACUGCAACAAUGCCGCACCGAUGUACACUCGGAUGUAAAAGCACAGGUAAAUGGGUGUUUUUCAGAAAACUUGACCCUAGCAAAAUCGACCUGUCCCACACAUUCAAACAUUUUUAUUUUGAUUUUUUUAUAUGGAACGUGUGAAAGUGAGUUUUUGAUUAAUUUAGGUAUAUAUUUUAAUGUACAAUUAAAUCAAUAUGUAGCA